UACGGGGGGGGGCAAGCGUUGUUCGGAAUUACUGGGCGUAAAGGGUCUGUAGGUGGCUUGCUAAGUCAGACGUGAAAUCCCUCGGCUUAACCGGGGAACUGCGUCUGAUACUGGCGAGCUUGAGUGCAGGAGAGGAACGCGGAAUUCCAGGUGUAGCGGUGAAAUGCGUAGAUAUCUGGAGGAACACCGGUGGCGAAGGCGGCGUUCUGGACUGCAACUGACACUGAGAGACGAAAGCCAGGGGAGCAAACGGG
rnacentral:rRNA from 1 species